UGUUUGGGAAUGCAGCUCUAAAUGGGUCGUAAGUUUGAUCUAAAGCUAAAUAAUGGCGAGAGACCGAUAGCGAACAAGUACCGUGAGGGAAAGAUGAAAAGAACUUUGAAAAGAGAGUUAAAAGUACUUGAAAUUGCUAAGAGGGAAGCGCUGACAACCAGUGAUAUACGUCGUUCAUCGCUAUCAGCUCCACUGGAUGUCGUUUGUAGUUGGCAACUCUACUUGCGGCCUCGAAAGGGAAGUUGGUGGUUUAGGACGAUGUGUCAGUCAAGAUCCAUUCGAAUUGUGGGAGAAGGUGGGGGGAAAGGUAGGACACUCCGGUGUCUGUUAUAGUCCCCUCACUCUACCUCGGCUUGGAUGGAGGAAGGAAUAGUGCGCCGCUUGCGGCUUAGUCCUGUGCUCCUAGUGUCCCAGCUGCCUUGAUAGCAAUGCUAUCCUGGUGGUAAACGGCUCUACUGGGUACGGUGACUCUAUGUGCUAUCACGAUCUUGUACGAAAUGGUUGUCAUCGACCCGUCUUGAAACACGGACC
rnacentral:rRNA from 1 species